CGGCCAAGGGCAUAAGAGUAUUUUUGCUCAAUCACAAAAAAAUUAUCAUCCUGUUCUCUUAAUCUUUUAUUUUGUUCCAACAAGGCAACAACAGAGAGACAUGAAUCUCUUCUCUAGAUUCUCAAGGAUUGCUCUUUAAGUUCUCAUCUUCCGUUGGCCCUUUUCUCUGGUUGCUUCUCCAUUUUGCUUCACCAGUUCUUCUUUUUCUGUGAAGCCACCCUCAACCAAGAACUGGUGCAAGUCCAAGAAGUAGGCCUUAAUGAAGUACUCCAAGAAAUAUGAGACUGAUGAAGGUAAAAAAGAUAUCUAGGCACUGUGGGAGAAACUGAAGAAGUAUGCUUAUGUCACCCAUGUGUUACCUUACACUCCGUGAAUAUGUUGAUCUUAUAGGGAUCGAGAACGUGAACAAGUUAGCAAGAUAUCACCUACAGGACAUUUAGGUUGGACCCGUGCUGAAUAUUUGGUUGAAGUAUAGCGUUGAGUACUACUAGUCUAUGCCAAAGUGCAGAGAAAAUCUAAUAGCACAUUCUAUGAUAUGUGGUUCAUAUAUGACUAUAUAAUGUUAGAUUCAUGCGUGGUCUUAUGAACUUACUGUAACAAAAAAAAAUUACCCAAUUAUGCACAUAUUGUACAUAGACUCUUGAUUAUUAGUAUCUAUUUAAACUUCAGUGCAACUUCGUGUUUGGCCUUAUU